rnacentral:sRNA from 1 species
UUACAGGCGUGAACCACCAUGCCCGGCCCAGAAUGUCCUUUCUUUUCGAAGCGGAGUAAUAUUCCAUUAUCACCUUUCAGAGGAGAAGAAUUUUAAAGAAUCCUGUCUGUUCGACAGGGAUUUAAGAGAGCAGUUAACUACUAUAGAUAAAGAAACACUUCAAGGAGCAGCUAAACCAGAUGCUCACUUUAGGACUAUGCCCUGCGGGCAGCUUCUGCACUUCCUGCAGAGGAACACCAUCAUCGCCGCCGUCUCAGGGGUGGCCAUCCUCAUGGCCAUCGUGCUGUUGCUGCUUGGGUUGGCCUCAUACAUCAGGAAGAAACAGCCAUCGGACAUGUAUUCCUGACCACAGAAGGAAGAGCAGCUCCCCACAGCCCUUCAGUCCUGCCUGACACUGCACUGAAUGCUCAGCUUGCCCCUAGAGCAAUGGGGUGGAGAUCUCCUCUGGCAAACACGACAUAUAAUAUUUUUAUAAUGGAUGGAAAGACAUGGUGGCACAAUUCUGAAGAAAAAAAUUUCACAAAACUUGCAAAAAAACAGAAACAGUUGAAGAGCAGCUCCUGUGUCUAAGCCAGGUCGUGGGGCCGUCAAACCAGGACUUGAAACCACAAUGCGAGGACAUUCUCCAUC